GUCUAUGGCCAUACCACCCUGAACGUGCCCGAUCUCGUCUGAUCUCAGAAGCUAAGCAGGGUUGGGCCUGGUUAGUAGUUGGAUGGGAGACUCAACUCCAACAAAUACUUUCAACC
ensembl:rRNA 5S_rRNA 5S ribosomal RNA